ensembl:snRNA U1 U1 spliceosomal RNA
AUACUUGCCUGACGAGGGAAGGCAGCAUGACCAGGAAGAUGUUUUUCUCAAGUUGUUUCACCUGUUGUAGUCUGGAUGUGCAUGACCCUUGAGGUUUACUCAAAAGUAGGAAAUAAGGCUGCAUACUUUCAGGGUGGGGAGUGCAGAUGCACUG